rnacentral:rRNA from 1 species
UACGGGGGGGGGCAAGCGUUGUUCGGAAUUACUGGGCGUAAAGGGCUCGUAGGCGGCCAACUAAGUCGGACGUGAAAUCCCUCGGCUCAACCGGGGAACUGCGUCCGAUACUGGAUGGCUCGAGUUCGGGAGAGGGAUGCGGAAUUCCAGGUGUAGCGGUGAAAUGCGUAGAUAUCUGGAGGAACACCGGUGGCGAAGGCGGCAUCCUGGACCGACACUGACGCUGAGGAGCGAAAGCC